rnacentral:rRNA from 1 species
UACGGAGGGUGCGAGCGUUAAUCGGAAUUACAGGGCGUAAAGCGCACGCAGGCGGUUUGUUAAGCUAGAUGUGAAAGCCCCGGGCUCAACCUGGGAUGGUCAUUUAGAACUGGCAGACUAGAGUCUUGGAGAGGGGAGUGGAAUUCCAGGUGUAGCGGUGAAAUGCGUAGAUAUCUGGAGGAACAUCAGUGGCGAAGGCGACUCCCUGGCCAAAGACUGACGCUCAUGUGCGAAAGUGUGGGUAGCGAACAGG